AUCAGCGAAGGCACAAGACCAAGCCUCUUUCACAGUCUAUGAGUCGUGUUUAUACUCCCUCCAAAUGUCACGUGUCCUCCAUGACGUCAGUCUGUCUUAGCAAAACUCCACAUGACUCUGUAUCAGCUGACAUCACACUGCUAGUCAGCAUGAGUGUGUGGAAGCAGCAAGGAGCCACCAAAACACCACCAGAAGUUUUAUGGUGUGUUUCUAUGGAGUGCGACAAACAGAGCUCAGCUACACGAUGUCAGGUGAACCAAUACAUGUGUGUUGUUAGCAAAGAAUCCUUCAUCACACGUCCUUUCACAUUCUUACUUUAGCAAAACAUCCUUUCACCCAUGUCUGCUUUAGGAAAACACUCCUUCACAGCAAAACACCAUUAGACACAACUGACUUUCCAAAGAAACAGUAAGUUUCCAUUUCACAGGGCAUCCAAUGAAACCUGUUGUCAUCUAAAAGAAACAGCAAAAUGCAAAGCCAUCCAAAGAUGGAAGGGUACUUUUGUGAAAUGACAAGUAGUUAAGUAUCCAAACUUGUAAAGAACUCAGUACACAUGAUAAUCAUAAUCAAUUUCAAAGUGAGCCAAAGCAUAAAUAGACAUUUUUCUAAAGAAGAUGUAGAAUUGCCAAGAAUAUGCAAUUAUUGUAUGCACAUAUAUAUUGUAUAUUCUUAAUAUGUAUGGAUAUACAAUAAUAAGGUUAUUUACAACAAUAAGGGCACCAGAUCUCAUUAUAGAUGGCUAUGAACCACCAUGUGUGGGACUUGAACUCAAGACCUCUGGAAGAGCAGCCAGUGCUCUUAACCUCUGAGCCAUCUCUCAAGCACCAACAUGCUAUAUUUUAAUUACUAUAUUUUAUAGCACAGUGAAAAUAAAAGGUUACUGACAGAAAAAAUAAUAACAAUUGUGUUAGGGAACAACUGAGACUGACAACAGACAUCAAGCUAUGGCAUAUACAUAUCUCCCAGAAACAUUUAUGUACACUUCACGUGACUACGUACUCACACACACAAAGGCAAAGUCAGAAGGAAAACCUGUACACUCUUCAUUCAUAAGAAUGUAACUUAGUGGAGUUACCAUGGUAAACUGCAAGUUUCUCAAAAACAGAUGAUCCAACAAUUCCAUAUUUGAAUUUGUAUGGGAGAAAGGGUGAUAUCAGUAUAUCUAAGGAAUAUCUCCUUUGGUUCCAUUCCAGCGUCAUUCAUAGUAGACAAGUGUGCAAGAACAUCUUACGUUUACAUCAACAAAUGAACAGAGAGAAGAUCUGCUAUAUGUUAGAUACACAGAAUGCAGUGUUAUUUGAUAUUUUAAAAUAAGCAAUGUUAUGCUAGCCAGGCAUGGUGGCACAUGCUUACUUGCCAUCCUAGGGCUCGGGAUCACAAGCUUGGGGCAACCUGUACUUAAGUAGCUACAUUAAACAGUAUGUAAAAAAAAAAAAAAAAAAAAAAAAAAAAAAAAAAAAAAAAAAAAAUUAAUGAAAACAAGGACAUCCUGGCAUUUGCAGUAACUCUUGAGGAAACAAGCUAAGCCCAGAAAGGUGGUUGCUCUACAGUACCCUAGAGCCAGGAUGGUGCGUAUGGACAAAAGUUGGGAAGAAGAGAAGGUGCUAGUCUGAGGUGCAAACUUGUCCUUAUAUGAUGAGUGUGUUCGUGAGGUCUAACAUAAGCUAUAGUAAUCAUCUUUGCAAUUAUACAUUGUAAACUUGAAAUUUGCUGAGAAACUCAACUAUUCUUACUGUACAAAUAGCUUGUGAGACCAUGGCUGUGUUAAUAAUUUUGGUCAUGGUAAUCAGUUCACAUGGUACAUGUAUCAAGAAGCUUCAUUUUGUGCUUCUUGUAUAAUUUCUAUCUGUAAUAAACACAUAAUUAGACUAUAUAAUUAAUUAAAUGCUAAAUAUUUAAAUUUUAAAAAAUAAUUUUAAAAUAUUUAGAAACAAAAAACAAUUAAAG
rnacentral:lncRNA from 1 species